GCGGUGAGGGUACACCCGGUCCCAUCUCGAACCCGGUCGUUAAGCUCACCCGCGCGGAGGGUACUGCAUGGGUCACUGUGUGGGAGCGUACGUCCGUGCCAACC
rnacentral:rRNA from 1 species